AUUGAACGCUGGCGGCAUGCCUUACACAUGCAAGUCGAACGGCAGCACGGGGGCAACCCUGGUGGCGAGUGGCGAACGGGUGAGUAAUACAUCGGAACGUGCCCGGUAGUGGGGGAUAGCUCGGCGAAAGCCGGAUUAAUACCGCAUACGACCUACGGGUGAAAGCGGGGGAUCGCAAGACCUCGCGCCAUCGGAGCGGCCGAUGUCAGAUUAGGUUGUUGGUGGGGUAAAGGCCCACCAAGCCGACGAUCUGUAGCUGGUCUGAGAGGACGACCAGCCACACUGGGACUGAGACACGGCCCAGACUCCUACGGGAGGCAGCAGUGGGGAAUUUUGGACAAUGGCGAAAGCCUGAUCCAGCCAUGCCGCGUGCGGGAAGAAGGCC
rnacentral:rRNA from 1 species